CAUGGGUAACAUAGUGAGUUCAAGCCCAGCCUAAGCUACCCAGUAAGAGACACCCUGUCUCAAAAAAAAAGGUGGAGAACCUCAUUGGUUUAAUGUUAACCUUUGUGUUGGAGGUUAAAAAAUACACAUAUUAACAAGUAUUCUUCAUCUUUCUUUUGACUUAUGGUCUCAUUCGGCAUCUGUGGUAAAACACCAGCAGAAGAAAAUCUGUUAAGAACAGAUAGCAAUACAAACCACCUCACCAAAAAAAGGGGACACAUGUAAAAAACAAUGGAAGAAAAUGAGACCAGAGACAAGAUCUUCCACAGAGGUUCCUGGAACACAGAGUUUAUCAGUUCUACGUGUGGCAUUUUUGGAUAUUGCUGUUAAGAUUAAUUUUUGAACCAGUAACCCUAACUGGAGACCUGACAACUUGUUGAGUAGGUAAAUCUAGAAUGAGGUGUCCCAAACUUUAGUGUAUAUGAGAACCACGUGGAAAUGCAGGUUCCUGGGCAUCUCCUCCAAAAGCCAACUACGAACUGAAACCACUACCAAGUACAAGCCAAAGUGAACUGUUCCUCCUUUAACUUUGGGUGUUGGGUAUUUUGUCUCAGCAAUGAGAACAAUAACAAAAAAA